CGGCGCACGGGUGAGUAACGCGUAUCCAACCUUCCGUACACUCAGGGAUAGCCUUUCGAAAGAAAGAUUAAUACCUGAUGGUAUGAUGAGAUUGCAUGAUAGCAUCAUUAAAGAUUUAUCGGUGUACGAUGGGGAUGCGUUCCAUUAGGUAGUAGGCGGGGUAACGGCCCACCUAGCCUACGAUGGAUAGGGGUUCUGAGAGGAAGGUCCCCCACAUUGGAACUGAGACACGGUCCAAACUCCUACGGGAGGCAGCAGUGAGGAAUAUUGGUCAAUGGACGAGAGUCUGAACCAGCCAAGUAGCGUGAAGGAUGAAGGUCCUACGGAUUGUAAACUUCUUUUAUAAGGGAAUAAAACCUCCCACGUGUGGGAGCUUGUAUGUACCUUAUGAAUAAGCAUCGGCUAACUCCGUGCCAGCAGCCGCGGUAAUACGGAGGAUGCGAGCGUUAUCCGGAUUUAUUGGGUUUAAAGGGAGCGCAGACGGGUCGUUAAGUCAGCUGUGAAAGUUUGGGGCUCAACCUUAAAAUUGCAGUUGAUACUGGCGUCCUUGAGUGCGGUUGAGGUGUGCGGAAUUCGUGGUAUAGCGGUGAAAUGCUUAGAUAUCACGAAGAACUCCGAUUGCGAAGGCAGCACACUAAGCCGUAACUGACGUUCAUGCUCGAAAGUGUGGGUAUCAAACAGGAUUAGAUACCCUGGUAGUCCACACGGUAAACGAUGGAUACUCGCUGUUGGCGAUAUACAGUCAGCGGCUUAGCGAA
rnacentral:rRNA from 1 species